AUGCUCAACAGGAACGUUGUUCUUCUGUUCUCUCUGUUCUCUCUGCUCAUCGUGCUGGUGGAGGGAGACAUCGACUCCAGCGAUGCUGGAAUACAUGCCACAUCGACAGACAAAGAUUCUACAUCUGAUGAAGCUCCUACAGAGAGCAUAAACGCCAUCUCUCCUGAUCACCCUGACGACUUCCUUUUGAUUGGCUCUCCCUCACAAACAGAAGGACUGAACAACAGGCCGGCAGAACCUCUGUCUGACAUAUGA
rnacentral:lncRNA from 1 species